UUCAGCCAUCUAUUUCCUGUGUUUGAGAGGUGUAUUUCAGCCAUCUAUUUCCUGUGUUUAAGAGGUGUUUUUCAGCCAUCUAUUUCCUGUGUUUGAGAGGUGUUUUUCAGCCAUCUAUUUCCUGUGUUUGAGAGGUGUUUUUCAGCCAUCUAUUUCCUGUGUUUGAGAGGUGUUUUUCAGCCAUCUAUUUCCUGUGUUUGAGAGGUGUUUUUCAGCCAUCUAUUUCCUGUGUUUGAGAGGUGUUUUUCAGCCAUCUAUUUCCUGUGUUUGAGAGGUGUUUUUCAGCCAUCUAUUUCCUGUGUUUGAGAGGUGUUUUUCAGCCAUCUAUUUCCUGUGUUUGAGAGGUGUUUUUCAGCCAUCUAUUUCCUGUGUUUGAGAGGUGUUUUUCAGCCAUCUAUUUCCUGUGUUUGAGAGGUGUUUUUCAGCCAUCUAUUUCCUGUGUUUGAGAGGUGUUUUUCAGCCAUCUAUUUCCUGUGUUUGAGAGGUGUUUUUCAGCCAUCUAUUUCCUGUGUUUGAGAGGUGUUUUUCAGCCAUCUAUUUCCUGUGUUUGAGAGGUGUUUUUCAGCCAUCUAUUUCCUGUGUUUGAGAGGUGUUUUUCAGCCAUCUAUUUCCUGUGUUUGAGAGGUGUUUUUCAGCCAUCUAUUUCCUGUGUUUGAGAGGUGUUUUUCAGCCAUCUAUUUCCUGUGUUUGAGAGGUGUUUUUCAGCCAUCUAUUUCCUGUGUUUGAGAGGUGUUUUUCAGCCAUCUAUUUCCUGUG